GUGGUGACACCGCCGGGGUGCGGAGGGAGUCCCCGAAACUUCUCCCAACAGCCCCGGGGCCAAUCUCCCCUCAGCCCACUCCCCUCCUCGCCAGCUCCCAGGCCCCCACUCCCUGCGCCGGGGGUGGGGUGGGAGCCGGGCCCGUCUCCCGCUGGGACACACACAGGGGCCGGGAGCGGGGACGGGACCCCCGAGCGGGGGGGACGCGCCGACCGACCGACGGCCGGGCGCCCGCCCCAGCGGGCCGGCGGGCAGCGGCGGCGGAGGCGGGGGUACGCGGGGAGGACGGGCCCGGGAGUUUCCUCCCAACUACCGGGGGAGAAACUCCCCGCCCGGAGGGGAGGCCAGACGGUGUUUUCCUCUCGGGGGCCGCGCUCCCCCGCCCCGCGCCGCGGCGGUCGCCGCCGCCGUCGCCUCUUUCUCCGCCACCGCGGGCCCCGGUGUCCCCGGCCAGCACUAUGCCCAUCUUACUGUUCCUGAUAGACACGUCUGCCUCUAUGAACCAGCGCAGCCAUCUGGGCACCACCUACCUGGACACGGCCAAAGGCGCGGUAGAGACCUUCAUGAAGCUCCGCGCCCGGGACCCGGCGAGCCGCGGCGACAGGUACAUGCUGGUGACUUUCGAAGAGCCGCCCUAUGCCAUCAAGGCCGGAUGGAAAGAGAACCAUGCAACGUUUAUGAAUGAACUGAAAAACCUUCAGGCCGAAGGACUCACGACUCUUGGCCAAUCCCUAAGGACAGCUUUUGAUUUAUUAAAUUUAAAUAGAUUAGUAACUGGCAUAGACAACUAUGGGCAGGGGAGAAACCCUUUUUUCUUGGAACCAGCAAUAAUUAUUACAAUUACUGAUGGGAGCAAGUUGACUACGACCAGCGGAGUCCAGGAUGAGCUCCAUUUACCUCUUAAUUCUCCUUUGCCUGGAAGUGAAUUGACCAAGGAACCUUUUCGUUGGGAUCAGAGACUCUUUGCAUUAGUGUUGCGGUUGCCUGGCACCAUGUCAGUAGAAUCAGAACAGUUGACAGGUGUGCCUUUAGAUGACUCUGCAAUCACACCAAUGUGUGAAGUGACAGGCGGCCGCUCAUACUCUGUGUGCUCUCCAAGAAUGCUUAAUCAAUGCCUGGAGUCCUUGGUACAGAAAGUGCAAAGUGGGGUUGUGAUAAACUUUGAAAAAGCAGGACCAGACCCCUCUCCUGUGGAAGAUGGUCAACCAGAUAUAGCAAGGCCUUUUGGAUCUCAGCCUUGGCAUAGCUGUCACAAACUCAUCUAUGUCAGACCAAACCCGAAGACUGGGGUUCCCAUAGGGCACUGGCCUGUUCCGGAAUCCUUUUGGCCAGAUCAGAAUUCUCCAACACUACCACCUAGGACUUCUCAUCCUGUUGUGAAGUUCUCCUGUACUGACUGUGAGCCCAUGGUCAUUGACAAGCUGCCUUUUGACAAAUACGAAUUGGAACCUUCACCGUUGACUCAGUUCAUUCUGGAACGGAAGUCUCCUCAAACAUGUUGGCAGGUAUAUGUGAGCAAUAGUGCAAAAUAUAGCGAACUUGGUCAUCCAUUUGGUUACUUGAAAGCUAGUACAGCAUUGAAUUGUGUCAACUUAUUUGUGAUGCCUUAUAAUUACCCAGUCCUCCUUCCUCUUUUAGAUGACUUGUUUAAAGUACAUAAAGCAAAACCAACAUUGAAAUGGAGACAGUCAUUUGAAAGUUAUUUGAAGACAAUGCCUCCCUACUAUCUUGGGCCUUUGAAGAAAGCUGUCAGAAUGAUGGGAGCACCUAACCUAAUAGCAGACAGUAUGGAAUAUGGACUUAGUUACAGUGUCAUUUCAUACCUCAAAAAACUUAGUCAACAGGCCAAAAUAGAAUCUGAUCGAGUCAUUGGAUCUGUAGGCAAAAAAGUAGUACAGGAAACUGGAAUUAAAGUUCGAAGCCGAUCACAUGGUUUAUCAAUGGCAUAUAGGAAAGAUUUUCAACAGCUGCUUCAGGGAAUUUCAGAGGAUGUUCCUCAUAGACUGCUGGACCUAAACAUGAAAGAGUAUACUGGGUUCCAAGUUGCUUUGCUAAAUAAGGAUUUGAAGCCACAGACAUUUAGAAAUGCAUAUGAUAUACCAAGACGGAAUCUUUUGGAUCACUUAACAAGAAUGAGAUCUAAUCUUUUGAAGAGCACUCGCAAAUUUCUUAAAGGACAAGAUGAAGAUCAAGUGCACAGUGUUCCUAUCGCACAAAUGGGAAAUUACCAGGAAUACCUCAAGCAAGUACCUUCUCCACUGAGAGAACUUGACCCUGACCAGCCUCGAAGGUUGCAUACGUUUGGUAAUCCCUUUAAGCUAGAUAAGAAGGGUAUGAUGAUAGAUGAAGCAGAUGAAUUUGUGGCUGGACCUCAAAAUAAACAUAAACGACCUGGAGAACCAAAUAUGCAAGGAAUCCCUAAGAGACGCCGCUGUAUGUCUCCACUGCUACGGGGCAGGCAACAGACUCCAGUUGUGAACAACCAUAUUGGGGGGAAAGGACCCCCUCUACCUACGACGCAAGCACAGCCGGAUCUUAUUAAACCCCUUUCUCAUCAGAAAACUUCAGAUGCCACUAAUGAUUUGACAAUAGAUGAUGUAAUUGAAAAUCAUGUUGCAGACCAACUCUCAUCAGAUAUUUCACAAAAUGCUAUGGAUACUGAGUUUUCAACAUCCUCUGCCAGUUUACUGGAACGACCAAACAAUCACACAGAGGCUCUUGGUCACGACCAUCUAGGAACUAAUGACCUCACUGUUGGUGGAUUUUUAGAAAAUCAUGAGGAGGCAAGAGAUAAAGAACAGUGUCCUGAAGAGAAUGUACCAACAUCUUCGCUCAGCAAGGGAAAGAAAUUAACACACUGCAGAAGCCAUGAAGAGGUCAACACUGAACUAAAAGCACAAAUAAUGAAAGAGAUCCGAAAGCCAGGAAGAAAAUACGAGAGGAUCUUCACUUUACUGAAGCAUGUGCAAGGCAGUUUACAAACAAGACUAAUAUUUUUACAAAAUGUUAUUAAAGAAGCAGCAAGAUUUAAAAAACGAAUGCUAAUAGAACAGCUGGAGAACUUCUUGGAUGAAAUUCAUCGAAGAGCCAAUCAGAUCAACCAUAUUAAUAGCAAUUAAAAGAGAACAGAAUGUGGCCACUUAUUUCACUAUCUUCUCCAAAUACAAAAUGAGAAAACUGAGUGUAAGAAACUUGCCCGAGAGGAUGUAAUGAGUACGUGGAGGAAGCCAAGGUUACCCAAGCUCCGAGCCUGUGUGUUGUCUGCACUGUGCUACUUCCCAUCUCGUGAGGCGUCUCACACAUAGUCACACCCGGCGAUACACAGGGGUUACUCCUGGCUCUGCACUCAGGAAUUACCCCUGGCGGUGCUCAGGGGACCAAAUGGGAUGCUGGGAUUCGAACCCAGAUCAGCCGCAUGCAAGGCAAACGCCCUACCUGCUGUGCUAUUGCUCCAGCCCCUAAAUAAUAAAUUUUAUGGUGUAUAAAUUGUAUCUCAUUUAAAAAAAAAAGAAAGAAAAUGCCCUUAGAAAUGAACAAACCAAACCUAAAGAUUGCUGCAGCUCCUGGAUGGGAGGGCGAAACUCCUUUAGGGUAUAAGAUCUUAUGUGUUUAAAAAUACACGGAUCAGUCCUGAUGAGAGGAAAAGGCUCAUGCUUAGCUUUUUGCUAUGCUGAUAUAAUAGCUAAGUGCCUUAUCUAUUAAAUAAAUACCAUUGAAUUCAUUGAAUUAAAUAAAUUUGUCAUUAUUGAUCUUUCUUGGGGUGCAUGAUAUCAUGAUGAAUUUGAUGGACCCUGUUAAUCUUUAAUGGUUUUCUUGAUUAUUCUUACAGUAUGUUAAUAUUCCUAGUGAAGAAUAAUAGUUUCUAUACAUUUUGUUUUCUUGUAAAUAAAAAUUUUAGACAUCAUACUUUGUGCAGAUUCUACUAAUGCACUACUGGUGUUGUUUGAUUCCAAGUUACCAUUCAUCACCACACAAGUUUUGCAUUGUUGUCCCCAGUAUAGAAACAAUUUUGUUCUUGAAACAUGAAAAUACAAAAUGUAGACUGAUUUCAGAGUCCUACUAAAUCAUCAAGCCAAAAAGAAUAGAAGUUUGGUCCUGCUCUAUCAUGAAUUUGUGCAACUAGAGGUAAAAUCUUGCCCCAAAGUUGAAUUAUAUUGACUAUGGCCCAACGUUUUGUACCCAAAUCUAGACAUCAAAUCAUUUCCUAAUUUAUUCUCUUAAAGAUAAAGCUAGUGCUUGUACUGGGUGCUUGUAUUGAGUUUCAAUUGUAAAAAAAAAAAAAAACAAAACCCUAUUUUCACCCAAACUUCUAUUCGUGACUUGAUCUUUGGGGAGGUUUUUUCAGGAGAUAAGAAUGUUUCUGUGACCUCUGCCUUCCCACCCUUUCCUUGUCUUCUGUUGUUUCUCAGUAUCUUUCCUGAAGGGUUUGUGAUUUCUAAGGGCAUAAUCACCCCCAGUGGGGAGCUUCGAGCAAAGCUGGGUGUUUCCCUGUGACAGUUUCUUACAUCAGCUCUACAGGAAAAGGCCAGCAAGAUUGUGGCCUGAAAGACUUCGGGCACUGCCCUGCACCAGGUUCAGUGCCUUUCCAGUUCUGACACUGAAAGCUCUUCCUUCCCAGAGCUGAUGUCAUUUAGGAAGAAAAAUUAAAGUCACUUUUGCUCCAUGACAGAGACCUGUUGACAUGUCUAGUCUUUGUGCUUGAAUUUGAGGUUCAAAUAUUUGGUUUGGAGAGGUGAGCUUGGAAUCCAGAUCAACUGUCCUGGCUCUGCUGGUUCCAACUUUAGACGUUAGCUCUUAAUCUACAGAGUCUCUGUGUCGGGGUCGUUUUUUCUUUCUUUUUUUUUAAUUCCAGUGCUUGGACUUAUAUUUAAACUCCUCAAGGAAACGCCACCAAGGACACUGGCUCAAAGCUGCGGAGAACCAAGCCCAGUCAAGGGGAUGCAGACAGUCCACGUGCCUGAAAGAAGCCCUCUGACUACACCGUCACUGUCAUACUAGUCUUCAGACCUACUAUAAAUUUUCUCUGAUGUUCAAUGUACUAGAGGAGAUAACCAUUAAAGUUCUAUGAGGAAUCCUUGGUAAAACAAGGAAAUUUCAAAUAGGUUUUGCUUUGAAAAUAUAAAAUCUAGGGGUGAUGAGAUAGUACAGAGGCCUUGCGUGGCACAUAACUGUGUUCAAUCUCCAGUACCACACAGGGUCCUCUAAGCAAUGGCCAGGAGUGAUCUCUGGCACAGGGCCUGGAAUAAGCCCUGAGCACAGUAAGUGUCAUCCACUCUGUCCCACCCCCACACAUAAAAAAGAGAAAAUGGACCCAAACUCUAGAUGACUCCCCUUGGUCUAACUGCUGGAAAUAUAUUACUGGCCAAGCUAGUCCGGCAGCUAAUGACAGGUGGCAAAAUCCCACCACCUGGAUUCUGAGCCAGGCCUGGCAAUUGCAUCUGGGCCCUUGGGCAAGACUGGUCAGCCUGGCUCUCAGUCUGGACGGUACUGGCAGGGACGUGGCCCAGUGGGGCACCCUGUCACAAGGCAGCCCUAGGAGCAGGUUCCCUGCACUUCCCAGGUAAGAAAUAUGAGCCCAGCAUCCCUUGCCAUGGCCAGUCUGUGGGCAGGGACUAGCUCUGUGCCCAAAGCAGGGAACCUAGUAGUCGAGGAAGAAACUAGAAACCAUACCAUUUUACUAACCAGUCACCACCUCCCCGCAAAGCAAACACGUUAAUGCUAAGGUCGCUCCUUCUAAUCCCGAGAGUCAGAGUCUUUCAGAGACUCAGCCCCUUGCUUGAAGGGGCAGAGGGGUGGGAUUUGGCUGCAUCCUUAGUGCCCGUUCAGUAACACCCUAGUGUUUGUAACUGGACAGUACCCAGGUGACGCUGUUGUUCUCUCCCCCUAAGGCUGGCUGCUCACUGGUCCCAGUGGACUGCUUUCCUGGGUGUGUGCCGCCCUGCCCCUCCAUGCCUGAUCGGGGCAUUGUGAUGGGAGUCACUGCAGCAUUUCUAAGUCCCCUGCAACCCACCUCGACCCUCCCCCGCCCCCCCCCAAAGUAGUAUAGCAAAAGCUACCUAAAAAGAUGCUGCACUUAAGUUUCUGUUUCCAAAUGCCUGGCAGGUCGAGCCCCUCUUUGUUAGGCUGACCAGCUGGAUCAGGAGGUUCUAGAGGCUCCACCAUUGCUCCAUUCUGCCCUUAGUUCCUAGAACUGGCCAGUAGCCUUGCUGGACCAAUUUGGCUCAGCAAGACUCACAUUCUCUGCCUUUGCCACCCAGAUUCCUAGAAUUAGCCACACUACCACUCACUUCCUGGGAUAUACUAAAAUUAUUUUAGGUACAUUUUAUUGUCCUUACUGGCUCGGUACCUUUUAUGGUUGAUCCAAAUUAUAUGUUUCUUUUAACUUAUUUUUGCUAUUUGGGCUAUACCCGGCAGUGCUCAGGUCGGACUUCUGGCUCUGUGCUCAGGGAUCACUCCUGGCAGGACUCAGGGAACAUAUGGGAUACCAGGGAUUGAACCCAGACGACUUCAUGCAGGGCAAACACAUUACCCACUGUACUGUCUUUCCAACCCCUCUUAUUAAUUUAAUGUGAUUGACUCUAACUUUUUUUAUUUGCUUUUUGGGUCACACCCAGCGAUGCUCAGGGGUUACUCCUGGCUCUGCACUCAGGAAUUACUCCUGGCGGUGCUUGGGGAACCAUAUGGGAUGCCGGGGAUCAAACUCGGGUCGGCCGCGUGCAAGGCAAAUGCCCUACCUGCUGUGCUAUCGCUCCGGCCCCGACUCUAACUAUUUUUUAUAUAAAACUUAUUUUCUCUCCAAAUUUGGGUGCGUGUCUCCUGCACGCCUCCUCCAAUGGCUCAUCUGUGGAAAGAAUGUUCCCUCCAGAAGCAGCCCUGAGCAUGUUUGAUGGGCCUCUCUCUCUGAAGGCCGUCGCUGGGUCAGGCUGACCAGUGGGUUCUCUUUCAAUGAACAGACUUCACUCUGCAUAAACCGCCUUGCCCUCCUGCUGAAUGCUUUAGGCACCACAUGGCUUGGACCCAGUGGGCCUGGGUUUGAGCAUCUUCUCUCCCUCAACCACUGUUGUGCCUUGUUGCUGGCAGAACCUUUGAUUUUUGCAACUGUUUGAGGUCUAGGCCUCUGAAUCCCAUGCUCUACCAGAAAGAGAACUGGGUACCCCUCCAGGGAAAACUUUUGCCUAUUUAUUUGUUUUUUUUACCUAUUUGCUCAGCUCUGCUUUGCUCCAGGAGCAGACCUUCAUGAAUUCCUCCCACAGUUUGCUUGUCAGUUCUUGCUUAACGGAUCCUGAGGCUCCAGGAGUUGUAUAGUUGUGUCUCUGAAUGGCAAAGCCAGGGGCCGCACGGUUGUUCCGGACAGAAAUCCUGGGCGUGAAGCUGAGCAGGCACAGCACUGGUCUUCUCUGCUGAAACAAAGGCCAGGAGAUCUCGGAGGACAGACACUGCGCUGGGCCCCCUGGCAGCAGGAGGAGCUGAGAUAGGAAAUGAGACAUUUUGAAGUAAAUGGAAAGGAUACUGUCAUAUGCUGGAGAGUGCAGAGAAAAGGGAGCCUCCCUCGGGUUCAAGGCAAAUGAUCCUAAUGUUUGCAUUUUAAUUCUGCAUCCACACACAUUGUUCUCAGUUUAAUUAUAAUGCAGAUCAUUUUCCCAUUUUACUUCUUACACAACAUUGGAUCUGGAACAUUCUAUUUUUGUAUCAUGUCUGAGAUUAUCGUAGAGCAGGGCUGCUGAGUUCUCGUCCUGGCUCUAUGGAGUCUGGGUGUGUGGCCCAAUGCCCACGUCUCAGUUUCUGCAAUGAUGAAAUGGAGACAUUGGCCUCUACCUGCUAGGAUUGCUAUGAGGCUGAGCUGAGCUCCUAAACUCUGAGUACUUCUAGUAAAUCGAUGAAAGAAGCACUCAGUGCAUGUUAAUAAUUCUGUCACCUUUAAUACCACCUGCAAUUGCAUACCAUGCAGAUGCUAUGAAGGUGCUAUAACUCACCAACUCAUCCCUGAAUAAUGCAUAGUUAGGGUGCCUGUGGGUCUUUUUUUUUUUUUUGCAAACAUGGGGCCAAAUUUUUUAUUGUAUGCAACAGUAUCUUCCUUGAAUUAUUUCCAGAGACUCUAAUUCCCAAGGAGCUGCAUAUCUGGUAUUUACUGGAUUCUUCUAUCACAGGGGGUUAAUCAUAGACCUGAGCUGAGCUCAGGGUGAUUUCUCUUGGGGGAGGGGCAGAGCUCAGAAUGAUUUCUCCUGUGGGGAGAAUAGUUACAUGGGAUAAAGCCUGUGGGGAUCCCCUAGAGUGGGGCAGCUCUGCAGAAUAACCUUGUGUGUUGGGUAUUUGUGUGUGUAGGGGGGGAUGCAAGUGGAGGGGGAGGGGUCAGAUUUGCUUGCUUCAGGGUAGGGUCUUCUUUUUUUCUGUAAUUGUUAAUUAUUUAAAAAAAAUUUUUAAUGAAUCACUAUGAGGUACAGUUACCGACUUACAAACUUUCGUGCUUAUGUUUCAGUCAUACAACGAUCAAAUACCCAUCCCUCCACCAGUGCCCAUUCUCCACCACCAAUGAUCCCAGUAUCCCUCCCACCAUCCCCUCCUGUCUCCCCUCCCCUCCUCCCCGCAUUGUGGCAGGGCAUUCAGGGUAGGGUCUUGAGGGAGGACUAACUUCUGCUACAGACAAGUGUCCGAGUGCCUCUCAGCGUGGCUUCUGAUGCUGUGGUCUCUGUCUUCACAGUCCUCUGCCACUAGCCCUCCUGAGCCCCGUGGUGCACUCUCACCUGUCAUCUGUCUGGAAGCCCAUUCAUUAACCUGGAUGGAGCGUCACUGGACUUCCUGAUGUUGGCUGCUUGCAGGCUGCUGUUGGCCACCAGGAGACCUGCUCCACAGCCUCGGGAGAGCAACAUUCCUGCAGGGACAAAAAAGGGAGUAGUCCAGUCUGGCCAGAAAUCGCUCAUGCUGACACUGAGAGACAGGUCCUCAUCAUGAUGAGACUAAAGGAACCAGCAUGAGAGGUGACAUACUUCUCCUCCGAGGUCUUGAGAGAGCCCUGCCACAGCUGUUUGGUUCCUCCAGAACUGAGUGCCUUGUUUUGGCCGCGAGCUUCUGAGAAAGCACUAAGGAAUGUGGGGUGCUCAUCAGGGAUGUGAGGGAGUGGCUGUGAACACAGCAACAAGAUAGUAAGGGACACUGGGUGCUACACUGACAGCCGUCUCGUGGGACUGUAUUAUGCUCCUGUAUCUUCAAAUGAGUGUCCCUAACCUGCCAGUGGAAUAAUGCAGCCCUUGCCUUGUGCUCACUUCUUGCAAGGAACACACUUGCUUCGCAGUGCCAGAGUGCACACCUGAAGCCAAGCUGCGGGACGCCCACAUUUCCCCACUGCAUCUAGAUGCUGUGUUCUUGGCAUAGCAUCAGCCCUCACAGCAGGAGUUCAAGAGUACUUGAUAAAUUGCUUCAUGCAAAUUGAAUAUGCACUAUUCGUGAUAGUCCAAAUGUGGAAGCAACCAGAUGUCCAACAGAUGACUGGAUAAAGAAACUUUGGCACAUAUACAUAAUGGAAUAUUCCUCGGCGAUAAGACAAAAUCACACAAUUUGCUGCCACGUGGAUGGACCUGGAGAGAAUCAUGCUGAGUGAAGUCAACCAGAAGGAGAGGGACAGUUGCAGAAUGUUCUCCUGAGUGAAUAUAAAGAAGCCAAGUAAGGAAAUACCAAAAGACCAAAGGCAGGAGCCUGGGAAAGGUCUACAGAAUUGAGCUUACCAUGGCAGGGAGACUUGGGUGCCCUGAGACAGUGGUGGCGGGAAGCGGACACUCUGGUAUUGGAAACUUGCAUCCAGGAAACCCUAUCAUAAUAGUAUUGUGAAUCAUAGUGACUCAAAUAAAAUUCAAACAAAAAAGUAUGUUGGUCUUUUGCUGUAUCUGGAGAGAGAACACAGUUGUGUGUUAGUGGAAAGGCUCUGCAGUGUU